rnacentral:rRNA from 1 species
CCUACGGGGAGCAGCAGUGAGGAAUAUUGGUCAAUGGGCGGAAGCCUGAACCAGCCAAGCCGCGUGAGGGAGGAAGGUACAGAGUAUCGUAAACCUCUUUUGUCAGGGAACAAAGGCGGGGACGUGUCCCCGGAUGAGUGUACCUGAAGAAAAAGCAUCGGCUAACUCCGUGCCAGCAGCCGCGGUAAUACGGAGGAUGCGAGCGUUAUCCGGAUUUAUUGGGUUUAAAGGGUGCGCAGGCGGUCUGUUAAGUCAGCGGUCAAAGCCCGGGGCUCAACCCCGGCCCGCCGUUGAAACUGGCAGUCUCGAGUUGGAGAGAAGUAUGCGGAAUGCGCGGUGUAGCGGUGAAAUGCAUAGAUAUCGCGCAGAACUCCGAUUGCGAAGGCAGCAUGCCGGCUCCACACUGACGCUGAGGCACGAAAGCGUGGGUAUCGAACAGGAUUAGAUACCCCAGUAGUC